UACGUAGGGGGCAAGCGUUGUCCGGAAUCAUUGGGCGUAAAGAGCGUGUAGGCGGCCCGGUAAGUCCGCUGUGAAAGCCCUGGGCUCAACCUGGGAAUUGCAUUGGAUACUGGCAGGCUAGAGUGCGGUAGGGGUGACUGGAAUUCCUGGUGUAGCGGUGGAAUGCGCAGAUAUCAGGAGGAACACCGAUGGCGAAGGCAGGUCACUGGGCCGCAACUGACGCUGAGGAGCGAAAGCAUGGGGAGCGAACAGG
rnacentral:rRNA from 1 species